UACGGGGGGGGCAAGCGUUGUUCGGAAUUACUGGGCGUAAAGGGCUCGUAGGUGGCCAACUAAGUCAGACGUGAAAUCCCUCGGCUUAACCGGGGAACUGCGUCUGAUACUGGAUGGCUUGAGUUUGGGAGAGGGACGCGGAAUUCCAGGUGUAGCGGUGAAAUGCGUAGAUAUCGAGAGGAACACCUGCGGCGAAGGCGGGUUGCUGGGCCGACACUGACGCUGAUGCGCGAAAGCCAGGGGAGCGAACGGG
rnacentral:rRNA from 1 species